rnacentral:rRNA from 1 species
GACGAACGCUGGCGGCGUGCUUAACACAUGCAAGUCGAACGGAAAGGCCCUGCUUUUGUGGGGUGCUCGAGUGGCGAACGGGUGAUUAACACGUGAGUAACCUGCCCUUGACUUUGGGAUAACUUCAGGAAACUGGGGCUAAUACCGGAUAGGAGCUCCUGCUGCAUGGUGGGGGUUGGAAAGUUUCGGCGGUUGGGGAUGGACUCGCGGCUUAUCAGCUUGUUGGUGGGGUAGUGGCUUACCAAGGCUUUGACGGGUAGCCGGCCUGAGAGGGUGACCGGCCACAUUGGGAUUGAGAUACGGCCCAGACUCCUACGGGAGGCAGAAGUGGGGAAUAUUGCACAAUGGGCGGAAGCCUGAUGCAGCAACGCCGCGUGCGGGAUGACGGCCUUCGGGUUGUAAACCGCUUUCGCCUGUGACGAAGCGUGAGUGACGGUAAUGGGUAAAGAAGCACCGGCUAACUACGUG